rnacentral:rRNA from 1 species
UUUGAUCCUGGCUCAGAUUGAACGCUGGCGGCGUGCCUAAGACAUGCAAGUCGAGCGGACCACUUCGGUGGUUAGCGGCGGACGGGUGAGUAACACGUGGAUAACCUGCCUGGAGCACCGGGAUAACAGGCCGAAAGGCUUGCUAAUACCGGAUAAGCUCACGGCCCCGCAUGGGGUUGGGAGAAAAGGCGCUGCAAGGCGCUGGCUACAGAGGGGUCCGCGGCCCAUUAGCUAGUUGGUGAGGUAACGGCUCACCAAGGCGACGAUGGGUAGCCGGCCUGAGAGGGCGACCGGCCACACUGGGACUGAGACACGGCCCAGACUCCUACGGGAGGCAGCAGUCGGGAAUUUUGCACAAUGGCCGAAAGGCUGAUGCAGCAACGCCGCGUGAGUGAAGAAGGCCUUCGGGUUGUAAAGCUCUGUUGACCGGGAAGAACGGCCAGAUCAGGAAAUGGGUUUGGUUUGACGGUACCGGUAGAGGAAGCCCCGGCUAACUACGUGCCAGCAGCCGCGGUAAUACGUAGGGGGCGAGCGUUGUCCGGAUUUAUUGGGCGUAAAGGGCGUGUAGGCGGUCUUGUAAGUCGGGGGUGAAAAUCCAGGGCUCAACCCUGGGACUGCCUCUGAAACUGCGGGACUUGAGUGCUCUAGAGGGCAGUGGAAUUGCCGGUGUAGCAGUGAAAUGCGUAGAGAUCGGCAGGAACACCAGUGGCGAAGGCGACUGUCUGGGGAGUAACUGACGCUGAGGCGCGAAAGCUGGGGGAGCAAACGGGAUUAGAUACCCCGGUAGUCCCAGCCGUAAACGAUGAGUGCUAGGUGUGAGGGGUAUCGACCCCCCCUCGUGCCGGAGUUAACGCAAUAAGCACUCCGCCUGGGGAGUACG